rnacentral:rRNA from 1 species
CCCGCUGAACUUAAGCAUAUCAGUAAGCGGAGGAAAAGAAAACAACCGUGAUUCCCUUAGUAGCUGCGAGCGAAACGGGAAGAGCUCAAAACCGAAUCUGGCGGUUUCAAAUAACCGUCCGAAUUGUGGUUUAUGGACUGACUCUAGGGCUGUCGCGCUGCUUUAAUCUCUGUUGGAAUACAGAACCAUAGAGGGUGAUAGUCCCGUAAAGGCGGCUGCGGUGGUUCAAACGAGUUUGUUCCCCGAGUCACACUGUUUGAGAGUACAGUGUAAAGUGGCAGGUGAGUACCUGCUAAAGCUAAAUAUUCGUCGGAGUCCGAUAGCAUACAAGUACCGUGAGGGAAAGUUGCAAAGAACUUUGAAAAGAGAGUUAAAAGAACCUGAAAUCGGUAACGAGGAAGGGUUCGGAGCCUCGCCGCCUCUGCAAAUUCUGUUGUCGGGUUUGAUACGAAGGGCACCGCUGAAUAGUUCUUUUACUGUCGUCGGUGUUUGGAGUGUUUGGCCCGGUGGCGAUAUUUUUGCAUGCAAGACAGAAUCGGUUCUUGCCGUCCAAUCGGGGUAUUGGAAGGGUGGUUUCGGGAUCUUAACCGGUUCUGAAGUCCGAAAUCCGGUAUCUUCUGGAUGGCGAAGACCGAAACGGUCCAGCGCCUUUUGGCUGGGUCCUAUAGUUGAUGGCGGUUGGUGCGUCGGGGAUACAAGUUUCUUGUGUCUUUGGUGAAACGGCUGUCACCUGAUUAUAGCCUAUGCUGGACUUUUUGUCUCCGCCGAGGUAUUCGAACCUCCCGUCUUGAAACACGG